UACUCCAUAAUAUAUUAAAUUGGCAUCAAAUUGAUAUUGAAAACUCCGGUGGAUAAAGGAUGGGCACGCGCAAGAUUAGAUAGUUGGUGAGGUAACGGCUCACCAAGUCGAUGAUCUUUAGGGGGCCUGAGAGGGUGAUCCCCCACACUGGUACUGAGACACGGACCAGACUCCUACGGGAGGCAGCAGUGAGGAAUAUUGGACAAUGGGUUAGCGCCUGAUCCAGCCAUCCCGCGUGAAGGAUUAAGGACCUAUGGUUUGUAAACUUCUUUUGUACAGGGAUAAACCUACCCUCGUGAGGGUAGCUGAAGGUACUGUACGAAUAAGCACCGGCUAACUCCGUG
rnacentral:rRNA from 1 species